rnacentral:rRNA from 1 species
GAUGAACGCUGGCGGCGUGCCUAAUACAUGCAAGUCGAGCGAACAGACGAGGAGCUUGCUCCUCUGACGUUAGCGGCGGACGGGUGAGUAACACGUGGAUAACCUACCUAUAAUACUGGGAUAACUUCGGGAAACCGGAGCUAAUACCGGAUAAUAUAUUGAACCGCAUGGUUCAAUAGUGAAAGACGGUUUUGCUGUCACUUAUAGAUGGAUCCGCGCCGCAUUAGCUAGUUGGUAAGGUAACGGCUUACCAAGGAAACGAUGCGUAGCCGACCUGAGAGGGUGAUCGCCCACACUGGAACUGAGACACGGUCCAGACUCCUACGGGAGGCAGCAGUAGGGAAUCUUCCGCAAUGGGCGAAAGCCUGACGGAGCAACGCCGCGUGAGUGAUGAAGGUCUUCGGAUCGUAAAACUCUGUUAUUAGGGAAGAACAACUGUGUAAGUAAAUAUGCACGUCUUGACGGUACCUAAUCAGAAAGCCACGGCUAACUACGUG